rnacentral:rRNA from 1 species
UACGUAGGGUGCGAGCGUUGUCCGGAAUUAUUGGGCGUAAAGAGCUUGUAGGCGGUCUGUCGCGUCUGUUGUGAAAAUCCGGGGCUCAACCCCGGACUUGCAGUGGGUACGGGCAGACUAGAGUGUGGUAGGGGAGACUGGAAUUCCUGGUGUAGCGGUGAAAUGCGCAGAUAUCAGGAGGAACACCGAUGGCGAAGGCAGGUCUCUGGGCCACUACUGACGCUGAGAAGCGAAAGCAUGGGGAGCGAACAGG